GGAGGUGGUAGAAUCUCCUUCCUUAGAGGUUUUUAAGGUCAGGCUUGACAAAGCCCUGGCUGGGAUGAUUUAACUGGGAAUUGGUCCUGCUUUGGGCAGGGGGUUGGACUGGAUGACCUUCUGGGGUCCCUUCCGGCCCUGAUAUUCUGUGAUUCUGUGGUGGUGAGCGCCUCGCUGUGGUCUCACGGCGCGGGACGCGGGAGCUUCGCGGUGCCUGCUCCGGAGCUCCAGGAGCCGCCUUCACACUGAGACCAUGCGCCGGUUCGGCGCAAAGUCUGCUGGGAACAAAGUUCUUUAUACAGAUCAUGAGCCACAAGGGUUGAUAUUUUUAGGAGGAGAGUGACACUCAGAGACUGGCUCAAAGCGUCCUCCAACAAAGCUUCAGUUCUUUCAGCAGCAGUAAAAUGGAUUUAGAAGGCAACUCUGAACCGCCCUGAAAUUGCAAAGCAGCUAGCCACAUGCCCCUUUAAUGCCCGCCAUCAGGUUCCCAGAGCUGAGAUCAGCCGUCAUAUAUCAAGCUGUGAUGACAAAAGCUGCAUUGAGGAGCACAUUGCCCUGGGUCCAGCGUAGUAAUGGAACAAAAGAGUAACCUAAUGUCAGGCAUGAGAGCACCCAAGUUCUUGCCGUAUAGCCUAUCCUGGAAAAGCAGUAAGUACAACGGCUGGUGGUCUCCUCAUGCUGUAAGAUGGGACCUUGUAGCCAGACAGCCAGCCCCCCGCCCUCAGACCAGCAUUGCUGGAAACACAGGAGGAAGCCAGAACAGGGCACUUAACAUAUAUUCCAGCACAGCCUUUGAAGCUGUGAAAAGCACAGGUGUGCUGCUACAAUGUGCCUCUGGGAACAGAUACAACGAUUAAGCUCACAGCAGGCAGAGGCCCUGUGACAGACAUGGCUCUUAGCCCCUACUAAAUAGCGUGAUGCACACACACCAACAUCCUAGGUGGGAAAAUAUUUACCCUGAUAAAAGAAAUGUCCAGUAGUCGAAACUUACUGUUUCUCUCCCUUGCAAGUGUAAACUACUCUUGCGAAAGCUGGCGUCACCCAGACAGACCAGCCUCAAUUUGGCAUAAGAAAGGAGAAAGAAUAAAGGAGUACAGAGGUAUAAGUAGGGGACCUACAGCACCAUGAUUUUUGAGUGCUUUUCACUAUCUAUCUGCUGGUCAGAUAAGUGACAGCCUCCCAAAGCUUCUGCAGCUAAGAGGGUCCCUACGCCUUGUCCCUUAUUCGUCUUUCCGCGGAAUUGAGUGACCGAUCCUGGCUUGGCACCGCUGGAAUCGAGAGAUGCAAGGAGGGUAAGAAGCACCCACACCUGAUCUCCUAUCUUUAGUGUACACAUAUUUUGAAAUAGAGCUCUAUACUUUGUUUUCUUUCUUUGGGAUUGUGGCUUCAGUUUUGUAACUUGUUUGUGUGUGUAACAUCUCUACAUUUAAAUAAGUAGGCACUAGC